rnacentral:ncRNA from 1 species
AAAUAAUCGAAUGAGACUUGAGACUGAAGUGGAGAAGGGUUUCGUGUGAACAGUGAUGAUCACGAGUUAGUCGGUCCUAAGUUCAAGGCGAAAGCCGAAAAUUUUCAAGUAAAACAAAAAUGCCUAACUAUAUAAACAAAGCGAAUAUAAUACACUUGAAUAAUUUUGAACGAAAGGGAAUACGGUUCCAAUUCCGUAACCUGUUGAGUAUCCGUUUGUUAUUAAAUAUGGGCCUCGUGCUCAUCCUGGCAACAGGAACGACCAUAAAGAAGCCGUCGAGAGAUAUCGGAAGAGUUUUCUUUUCUGUUUUAUAGCCGUACUACCAUGGAAGUCUUUCGCAGAGAGAUAUGGUAGAUGGGCUAGAAGAGCAUGACAUAUACUGUUGUGUCGAUAUUUUCUCCUCGGACCUUGAAAAUUUAUGGUGGGGACACGCAAACUUCUCAACAGGCCGUACCAAUAUCCGCAGCUGGUCUCCAAGGUGAAGAGUCUCUAGUCGAUAGAAUAAUGUAGGUAAGGGAAGUCGGCAAAUUAGAUCCGUAACUUCGGGAUAAGGAUUGGCUCUGAAGAUUGAGAUAGUCGGGCUUGAUUGGGAAACAAUAACAUGGUUUAUGUGCUCGUUCUGGGUAAAUAGAGUUUCUAGCAUUUAUGUUAGUUACUUGUUCCCCGGAUAGUUUAGUUACGUAGCCAAUUUUUUUUUUUUUUUUUUUUUUGCUUUUCUUUUAUUUAUUGAAUCUUCUUGUAUAAGAACUAACAAUAAGUUUAAAAAUCUUAACUAUAACAAGUAUUUUUUGAACAGUUGUAUUAUUUUUCCAACUGUUCUAUGAUUAAGCGGCCCUAAUAAUUUAUUCGCUGGGUUGGUAGGUCCUUUCGCCGGAGUCGGGAACGGCUGCUGAGCUGGAUUAGACCUCGCGCUAGGUGGUUGGGGUGCGUGUAAAGCUUGCUAUGGUAUUUUUCCUUAAGUUCCGUGAUUGCGUUGGUAACUGAUGGGAUAUUUAAGUCUCUUUGGAUGUUUUCACUCCGAACGUACCACGGUGCCCCAGUGAUGGUUCUCAGGAUCUUUGAUUGUGCUCGCUGUAUGAUGUCAAUAUUGCUGUUGCUGGCAUUGCCCCAUAACUGUGAGCCAUAGGUCCAGAUAGGUUUCAAUACAGAAUUGUAGAGCAAGACCUUGUGGUCUAGGCUGAGCGGAGAACCAGAGUUGAUGAGCCAGUGUAGAA